rnacentral:rRNA from 1 species
UACGUAGGGUGCGAGCGUUGCCCGGAUUUAUUGGGCGUAAAGGGCGCGUAGGCGCCACGCACGUCCGUUGUGAAAUCGCCCGGCUCAACUGGGCGGGGUCGGCGGAUACGGCGUGGCUGGAGCAAGCUAGGGGGCAAUGGAAUUCCCGGUGUAGUGGUGGAAUGCGUAGAUAUCGGGAGGAACACCAGUGGCGAAGGCGGUUGCCUGGAGCUUUGCUGACGCUGAGGCGCGAAAGCGUGGGGAGCGAUCCGG